GAGGGUAUAGCUCAGUGGCAGAGUAUGUGCUUAGCAUGCACGAAAUUCUGGGUUCAAUCCCCAGCACCUCCA
rnacentral:tRNA from 1 species